UACAGAGGUCCCGAGCGUUGUUCGGAUUCAUUGGGCGUAAAGGGCGCGUAGGCGGCGGGGUAAGUCUGGUGUGAAAGUCAGGGGCUCAACCCUUGGAAGCCGGCCGAUACUGUCGGACUAGAGUCCGGAAGAGGCGAGUGGAAUUCCCGGUGUAGCGGUGAAAUGCGCAGAUAUCGGGAGGAACACCAAUGGCGAAGGCAGCUCGCUGGGACGGUACUGACGCUGAGGCGCGAAAGCGUGGGGAGCAAACAGG
rnacentral:rRNA from 1 species